rnacentral:misc_RNA from 1 species
CCUUGACUAGCCUCCAAAUCUCCCAAUAAAAAGAUUAAGCCUUGUCCUUUAAAUUGCAGGGCAGCUUCAUGAUAUUUAGUUUUGAAAGAAUCUGCAUCUUCACUACUUAAGUUUGUAAACAACAUUGCCUUAGCAUCAGGACUAUUGAUUGAUAACAUAAGGAUGAUUGCUGGCGUCACUGUUAAAGAGAGUCACAAUGGGCAUGCUAGAUUCUUCUACAAACUUCUCUAGGGCAUCCACAUUAAAGUCCCUAAAAUCAACAAAGAGUUCAUCAAAAGGCUUGAACAGCCUAAUAAGGGGCCCUGUCACAGAUGAUUCCCCACGAGGGAGGUGUUUAGCAUCCAAGGUAUGACCGAACUCAUAGUCAGAGCGCAAUUUAUCUGCAACAGCCAAAAAGUUCUCGAACUCCUGUCCAGAGAACUUAGGGAACACCCCAACAAUAACUAUCUUCUUAUCGCCAACAAAACUGCUAGCAUCUUCUGUUGAUUUUAUUUCAACAGAAGAAGGGCCACCUUGUU